rnacentral:lncRNA from 1 species
CACUCUUGAAACCCUAAAACCCAUCUUUAUAUCAUCGCUCAAGCUGGUAAAAGCGGAGCCGGAGACUACUUUUUUAAGCGAACCGGCCGGUUCAAGCUGGCCCGACCGUCGACCGAUACUGGAAGUCAACGGACCGGAGGUAAUGAGACCGGUGGGCUGAAUUGGGGUCAUUAUUGGACCGGAACCGGAGGAAGAUGAUCUUUUCGGUAUUGGUCCGGAGUUAGGCCCGGAUCUGACGGGUCGGGAUUCACCAUUAUGCAGUGAAGAAGAUGAAGGCCUCAGAAUUGGCGGGCCCCCAAGAGGGGGGAGGGGGUCCCUAUAAUUAUAAUUUAUAUAUGCCAUAUGUAUAAAAAUGUGCAUAUGAGUGUGAAAUUACCCCAGUAACCUUCACAUACUGUCCAUCAACAGCACCUCUAAGCUCAGCAUCAGGAAAUCUUCUUAAAAAACCCACCAAACCUCGUUCUUUAUAGGCAUAAUUCCACAGUAAAAUCACCAAAAUUGGAGUUAAAACCCCGCCAACGCCCACUAAAAUCACCGAUUUUUUAACUGCCGCCAUCACAAAAGCACCCGCCAUUAAAGCUAUUAGUAACACAACAAGUAAAACCCACAUUGCCACUCUUGAAACCCUAAAACCCAUCUUUAUAUCAUCGCUCAAGCUGGUAAAAGCGGAGCCGGAGACUACUUUUUUAAGCGAACCGGCCGGUUCAAGCUGGCCCGACCGUCGACCGAUACUGGAAGUCAACGGACCGGAGGUAAUGAGACCGGUGGGCUGAAUUGGGGUCAUUAUUGGACCGGAACCGGAGGAAGAUGAUCUUUUCGGUAUUGGUCCGGAGUUAGGCCCGGAUCUGACGGGUCGGGAUUCACCAUUAUGCAGUGAAGAAGAUGAAGGCCU